UUUAAGUGCAGUUGUGGGUUUCUAUGUCCAACGUUUCACUGUACGUCUUAUUUGAAAUUUUUUUAUGAGUAGUAUUUUUAUUGUUAUUAGAUGAUAAAACAUAAAUAGUAAUUUAUGGUGACUAUUUUUUUUAAUAUUUUUAUAAAUUUUUUAAAUAAGGCGAACGGUCAAACGUUGGAGACAGAUCUCCACGACUGAUAGUAGA
rfam:Oryza meridionalis cultivar OR44 (W2112) chromosome 3, whole genome shotgun sequence.